CCUACGGGGGGCAGCAGUGAGGAAUAUUGGUCAAUGGUCGGGAGACUGAACCAGCCAAGCCGCGUGAGGGAUGAAGGUACAGAGUAUCGUAAACCUCUUUUGUCAGGGAACAAAGGCGGGGACGUGUCCCCGGAUGAGUGUACCUGAAGAAAAAGCAUCGGCUAACUCCGUGCCAGCAGCCGCGGUAAGACGGAGGAUGCGAGCGUUAUCCGGAUUUAUUGGGUUUAAAGGGUGCGUAGGCGGUCUGUUAAGUCAGCGGUCAAAGCCCGGGGCUCAACCCCGGCCCGCCGUUGAAACUGGCAGUCGCGAGUUGGAGAGAAGUAUGCGGAAUGCGCGGUGUAGCGGUGAAAUGCAUAGAUAUCGCGCAGAACUCCGAUUGCGAAGGCAGCAUGCCGGCUCCACACUGACGCUGAGGCACGAAAGCGUGGGUAUCGAACAGGAUUAGAUACCCGUGUAGUC
rnacentral:rRNA from 1 species